GCGUCCGGCAGAACCAUGGGAAGAUUAGAAUGACCUAGGUACCUCAUUAAAGAUAGAUAGCUAUCUUACACAGUAAAUUGAUCUAUCCAUGGUUGGUUGAGGAAGAAGGGUAGAAGAGAUUUGCUCUUAAGGAAGGAGGUAAUAAGGGAAGUCAAGACGGGCUUAGCCGUUCUCAGAGCUUUGACUAGCUCUCAUGGUAGACGAGAAGAAAGGAACUGACCUACUUCAACUGCACUGUGGGAAAGACAGACUAUAUUCCUGUAGCCAGGUCGGGUUAGGGCUUCAUAUCCUGCUUAGGCAAGGAAGAAGAGCGGCUGAAAGCCAAUCGAAAACCGGCAUAGAAUGGAAUUGAUUGGUUCGCCACUUCUGAAGAAGCGAAGGAGAGGGGUGAAGUAGAGUAAGGAGUUUAGGCUUUCUUUUUUUCAGCUCAAUCCCUUGCUUCUUGUUUUCGAGCCGGAGCUCGCUGGGUAGUGAAGUGGUCCGUGAAGGUUAAAUCACACUUGUGUUAAGCAAGCCGAGUAGUCAGACUUAACAUUGAUUGAAGCAGCUGUUGGAGAGAAGACACCAGUCAGACCUGCAAGCACCGGGUAGUACGCAGCGGCAGUUUUCAAUCAUACAAUGUGUACUCGUAGUCUGACUUUUAGCGGUAGUCAGCUGUCCUCGUUCUCCUCUUUUCAUUGCCCUAUUGUAUUGAUUGAGUAAGGCUCGGUGUUUGCAAAAAUGUCGAGCCUUACUCAAUCAAUAGGGGUCAGGUACCAGUAGUGACAAUGGCAAAGGGGGGGAGCUGGACACUGCUGAACCGGAAGAGAUUGCUCAGGAUGAGUGUCUGGGUAACAAAGCCGAGAAGGGUGUAGUCAAGGUGCGAGUUUAACGAGCGAGGAGAGUGAUUUGGCCCAUAGAAGCGAGGAUCUGGAAGAGAGGGUUGAUACUGGGUCAACUAUGGCAGUGACUGAGGGGGACUUGUUCUGUGAUAAACAAAUGACUCCAAACAAGAACCUCAGGGCAGCCAAUCCUAAGAAAAGAGGUGAACCUGAAGCAGUAAGAGUAAGCGUUCAGGUGCUGGUGCGAAGACCUUUUUUCCACCUUUUUCGAAUCGAAUGAUUCAGCGCUCUCAGAAAGCGGAUCAAAGGCUUCCUAUUCAACGGAUUCGGAUUAUUCGACUUUAGAUGCUUCGGAUGCUUCCUCGGCCUUAGGUCACAGUACGUACUUCUGUUUGGAGAGUCUGUUCCUUACUUAGCUAGGACUUUGAGUGACUAGAGUAGCCCCUCUGUAUCCGAAGGCGCCUUUUUGUUUAUGCACCUGAAACGGCUUCCGAUUUUACUUAUAGUAAAGUGGAUCGACCCCGUUCAGUAUAAUUACGAAGAAAGCUAGGCUUCUUGAACCAGAGCUAAUUAGAUCUUCCCCUUUCGACAAUGUGUUUGAAUAGCAAGCAAAAGUACCACGACCGAACAAUUCAAUUCGGUUAACAAACGACUUCUAGAAUGAACUACAUCCAUUCUUCCAACCGGCAUACCUUUCUUCUCGUAACUACGAUCUGUCUUCGGUGUUGAUAUGAUCUUUCUAUCAAGAAAAGAUCGGGAAUUGCCGCUAGGCUUUUCUUUUAGCUCUCACUCAUUCCGAUUCCGAUCCCGGGCGAUUCUUUUUAUUUUUUUCUUUGUCACUAAGGAAGGAGUAGUUGUGGCUUUUGACCAAGAGAACGAGCUAGACAGAAAAGGUACCACCGAAAGAAGGUCGACCUCACCCCCUUUGGUAAACCGAAGCAGAGAAAGAGGAAGAAGCAAAGCUAGGCCAUUCGAUUAGGGAUGUUCUCACCUAUGCGUACUCUCUUGAAUAAGGAAUCUAAAAAAGAACCUUAUUCUUUUUCGCAUCUCCCAAGUUCGAAUGCUUUUAUGCUGUUAAAAGAAAUCGAAUACCAUUCGAUUCCGAUUCGUGACCCAAUUCAAAAAACGGAGUGACUGAAGACCUCCUCCCCCUUUCCCGCCUAUCCCUCCCUUUGAAGUAGAGAGGACUCGUUCUGGCUUUAAAGAGCCUCUUUUUUAGCAGUCUCGCCCAUAAUAGAAGAUAAGAUUGACCAUCUCUUCUUCCAAGCUUCUUUCUGCUUCUUCUCGGCGUAACGAAAGAACUAGAUUCGGAAGAGGAGAGGCCUCCGGUUUCAAAUCCCUACCCUACGCCUUUUCCGUUCCGUUCCGAACGAGGGCGCCCUAGCCUCACUCCCAAGGGUCAAUCAAGCCUUUGAAACUAGUUCAAAUAGUCGUCACAGUCUUCGUUCCUGCUUUCAACGAGAAUUAGCUGCAUCAGCUUGUAAAACUCUCUAUCCUUCACCAGGAAAGGGAGAGCGGACAAAGUACCAGACUCUUUAUUUUGUUUGAUUGGGUAAGAAGAGCGUACGAUAAGAGUAAGCAGACGAUGUCGAUAGAAGACGAUUCGUGGGAUCUUAUCUUCCUCAAAGUCAAAGAAAGAGUCUGAAUGAGCUAAAGAAAUAAGGUAUGCCCAGCCCAUGGAAUUCUAUGUCGAAUGAGUACGAUUUCGAGCAUAAAUAAAGAGAGAAGAAAAAGUCAGUUUUUAGCAAGAAUCUAGGUUUAGCAAGAUAGCUGCCAGAAAGACUGAGCUUAGGUGCAUAGCGCUUAAAUAAGUGGUGGAAGAGUCGCUUUCCAUCCCAUCCCCGACAAUGACUACUUACUUUAAAUUUUUGGGAUUUAACUUAAAAGACUGGACUUCAAGCAGCAAUGAGAGCAAAGGCAAGGAAUUGAUGCGCCAAUAAUCGAAGAAUGGGGCAAGGCAAAUUUCCAGACAAUGGCAAGUGCUUGAGAAGGAGCUGUGAAAGAAGGGGCUGCUAGAGAAUAGGGAGCUCUUGAAGAAGAAGGGAUUGCGGGGUGAACGGCAUUCUGUUGUACUACUAACACUAGCUGUACUCGAGUAGUUUAGUAGCGCCUUUUGAAUCAAAUAGGCGAACCCUUUCCGAAAGGCGAACAGCCCGCAUUGCAAGCAAAUAGAUAGCCCCCGCCCCUUUGAGUCGUUGCGAGCCGGAAAGCGUACCGGCAGUUUGAGUCGCGAAAGGGCCGCUUGCUUAAUCUUUAUUUUAUUAUAUUUAUACAAACAAAUAAGAAAAUCAUUUUUUUAUCCAAUUGUUAAUUCCUGGGAAGAGGAAGAAGCAGAUAGAGCAAAGGCCUCCUCUUUCCGUCCACUCUUCCCAAUGAAGAAGUGAGCUAAUUGCAUGUAGAGAUCCGUAGGGGCUUAUAGUUUAAUUGGUUGAAACGUACCGCUCAUAACGGUAAUAUUGUAGGUUCGAGCCCUACUAAGCCUACCACCCCCUUCUCUUCACCCGAUACAAGAAGGCAGUCGAAGUCCCCUCCACUCUUAAUUUUAUGGGAAGACAUCGCGUUCCUAGUCGAUUUCCCUCAUUGCGCUGUCCGUCCCCCUUAAUGCUACGAAGUGAAGCAGGCAUAGAGACCAACCAGUUGGUCUCUAUCCAAGAAAAGAUCUUUCAUCAACCCCGGCUCGGUAUCGGUAGUCUCAGUCUUUCCCUGCCUGCCCUGGUAUGAGUUGAGGGGAGUCUUGUCUUAUUCUACUCUAGGCUCACUCCACCCCCUGUCUUGUCUUAUUUCAGGAGGGACUCGAUUUUUAAGAAAUCCCUGACUCUGUCUUUGGGCUAAAGCCUAUAGUUAGUUCUCUCCUCACUAACGGAAGUAUCUUAGUUAGUAGCAUCAGCUCUUCCGAUUCCUCUUCCGAAUCCGAUUCCUCUUCCGAUUCCUCUUCCGGGGGGAAAGCCUAAGUCAGGAGUAUUCGCGGGCUAUCCACAAGCAUUAGUUCUCCCCCUGACCUGCCUCCCAACCUCAAGAUCAUCAGCGGACGACGCCUUCUUCCGAAAGUCCUCCCUCUUUGCUUUGCCCCAGCGAAAGAGACUAAAAAAGAUCCGUAUCCGAUUCCUCGGGUCUUGCUGCGUCAGCUACCGUAGAUAGGAGGCUUUAGCCUAUAAAGCAGCUUAGUAGAACGAUGACGGGGAGUUUGGCAUGAUAGUUAGAGAAGGAAGUGGCGAGAAAACAAAGAUGCAUUGGUCUAGUUAUGAAUCAAAGUAUAUUUAUUAUAUUAAAUUUUUCUUGUUAUCGUUUGUGCCCCACCCUAUACUAAUAUGGGGGUCACUGCACUCAAUCUAAAGAGUAGAGGUUCCCUCCGGGGCCUUCGGGGGAGUGGAACCUCUAUCAUACCUUAAGUCUGACUGUAAACUACUUUUGAGAGAAAGACAGGAAGGAAAUUGCGUAUGAUGACCGGUGAACCUUCACGUUUAGGGAUCCCUCUCAUUGAUGAGGGGAUUCGGGAUUGCCUUGAAAAAAAGCUCUCCUUUGAGGGGAAAAUUGGCCUACUUGCCUCGGUCAGGACUUAAGCCAUGCCUUUAUUAAACAACGCCAUCCCAUCUCAGAACGAAAGUCUCAUCCAUUGGGUCUUAAAGGGGCGAAGCGUAUUUACUCGCAAGGAAGAUUGAUAGCCCCAUCGAUAGCUAUCUGUAUAAGUAUGCCGCGGUUGUCGAUUUCUUUGACUCUGUCUCUUCCUAAACUGGAACGAGAAGAUGCAAAGAAGAAGGAACCCAAGGGGAAGAGUCAUUCAUGCUCUCUAGCCAGGGUAUGGAGCGAAUAGUAAGAGGUCUUAGCUGCUUAUCCGGUUUUAGCGGAAGAGGAGCCAUCUGCUCGUUCCCUAUCGAGUGGAUCAAAUCCCAAGCCUUAAGAGCCCAUUAACCCAUGUUCUGUUCCGCUAGCCAGCUACGCUAAAAAGCUUGCCAUCGACCCCUGUUGAUAACCUCUCCUUGUAACUUUCCUAUGUAUGGUCUCUCCACUAACUAAGCUUUGAUCUACGCGCACUAGCUUCCUCGGCGACUAAUGCCCUUCUGCUGGUCUUUCGUCCAUUGCCUAUGGUCUUUGGUAAGUAGUCUAUAGUUCACUUUCGUCUAUGGCCUGCCCCGCUCUCUUUUCAACUGAGUUAUUAGUACUUCGGAGUGGUGCAUACUCUCCUGCUUGGCUAUUGAAUGAAUCUUAUGCUUGUCAGGUCCACUCCAGUUGACCUCUCUUGUUCUCCCCCCCCCUUACACAACCGGGUGGAGGACUCAUGUAAACUUCUUCCUGUAGGUCCCCGUUCAGGAAGGCAUUUUUCACAUCUAAUUGGAACAGAGGCCAAUCUCGAUUCGCAGCAAUAGAGAGCAGGAGACGAACAGAAUCUUGGCUACCGGGGCAAAGGCUUCCUCGUAAUCUAUCCCAUAUGUUUGAGUAAAGCCUUUACUAGCCUGACCUUUUCCUCCUUUCUCCCACAAAGCUUCCCUUCACAACCAGUCCCAUAUCCAAUUAGUAGAGAUCGAGAUGGGGAGACUAAAAAUGAGACAAAUGCGCAUUUCCUCUCUGAAUCGAGAGGUAUCAGAUCGAAGUAAAAAAAGUAAUGUAUUAUAUCCGGGAGAACAAAGUAGAUUAAUGAGCAAAUUCUGGCAUGAGAGGACCAAUGAGACAGAAGACUGUUGGAUGCAUUCCUUCGCUAGCAGGGCUUCGGCCCAUCUCAAUGGAAGAGUCUUCGGUCAGUAAUCUCGUACUCUCGACCGGCUCGAACCACUACGUUAUCCAUGUUCCGGCUCAUUCGUAUGCUCAUCCUAUUCUCGCCCAACACCAGAACCUGUAAUAAACCAUCAUUUCAAACCAUCCUGUUAAAUAAAGGGAAUCUUUGGAUAUCAGUUCGAAGGUAUCAUUAGCCGAAGAAAGUGAAGUAGCUCCUACCUACAGGAGCAUCUUCCUUCCCUUUUUCGGGGGAUCGGGAAGAGGAAAUCUGGUGUGAGGUCUGAGGUCAACGGUAAUAUGUCACCCUGCUUGAAUGAGAGUACUCUAUUUCCAUUAGGAGCUUCCCCCAGCUGAGCUAGGCAACUUCCCUAAUGAAAGGAAUAUAGCAUAAAUUAAAUUAGGGAGGCCGUAGAUGAAAGCCUCUUCAGUAAACUCUGUCCGCUUCCGCUUCUGAAUCUGGAUGGCGGCUUUGGUUGGAGAAGAGAGUCUUUCAGUUACGGUUUAGGGCUAGUGAGUUACUAGACGUUCGUGAAGGCAGCCUACCAAUAAUAGAUAUCGCUCGUAGACAUAAAACCGUUUUCCUCUUUUAUAGGCGACUUAGAAAAAAGAAAGAACUUCUUGUUUUUGUUUUGAAAAGCGCUGCGUACAGUUCUGGGGGUUGUAGAACAACUACUUGUUCGCCGUUCUUUUUCCGUUAGCCAGUAUCGAGACUCUAAUACUCCUUGCGCUUAGCCCACCGCAGGUGCUUUGAUAGAGAGUAACUUUCGGGUUGUAGGGCGCAAGGGGAUCUUGAAUCAAUUCCCUCUUUGCCAGUAGCUAGUUUAGAUAUGGCAAGCGGUUCGAGUCAAGUUUUUCAGUUAAAGAACCAAUUGUUGGCAAGAGUCAGAAAUAUGAAGUAAACGACUUGGUCUCUUCUGGAGAGUUAGAAAAAAGAAAGUAUCCUUCUGUGAACGCUGGGGAAGGGAAGGAAAGGCUCUCGCACUAGUUGUUCUGUAAGAAGGGCUUUCAUUAGCGUGAGAAGGCGGGUUUUCUGGAUGUUGGCAAAUGGGCAUGAGAAGGAGCAUCGUUCCAUGCUGGAGAUCCUUUACUAAACCCCUACCCUAACCAUUAUCAGAGCCUACCAUGAACCACGCUUUGUUUGUUUUUCUUUUUUGGGUUGUGCGAGCUCCGGCUACCGCUGGGGAGAGGGAAAGUUACGGAGCUACGCACGAAGAGCCCAAACGGAUAGAGACCAAUAAGGACACCUAAAGAUGAAGCAGGACGCCACACCAGAUAAGAGAAAGAUCAAAGCCCGAAGCCAGCAAAAGGAGUCCCAAGAUCCGCCGAAGGAGACAGACCUAAGGAACGAAAAAGAAAAAGGAGCGAAAACGAAAAGAAGGAAAAGAGGUAGAUUUCCCUAGACCCUCUAAUAGGAGCCCGCCCCUUCUUCCGAAUCAAGGGGAAAGGGGGACGACAAGAGGCUGGGGCCAAACUCCCCCGACACCGAUGAACUAACGGCUAUAGAUGGAUACCGGUAUCGCCAGCAAGCUUCAUUCUCGAGGAGCGGGGCCAAUUAAGUAAAGGCCCUCGAGAUUGGAAUCAAGCAUGUUGGUGAUGAAUUGAGGGAACUGAACUAUAUGUGUGUUAAGCAAAGCAGUUCUGGUCCUCCAUUCGUUGGGCUCUUCGUGACCCUAUCAGUCGGCUUGCCACUAAUACAAUACCCAACAACAACAAAAGAAAGAAAGAAAGUACACCUUCACGCCCUUCUACCGCUUUUUCUGAACGCAAUUACUAGCUUACUGUCCACUUUCCUUCCCCACUUCACCGCCCUGGUCCUCGAUGUAUCGAUGCCUUUCUUUACUUGAUGAGCGGAUAGGCACUUCUUAUAUAUUUAUAUUUGUGUCGAGGUACUUUGGAUUCGGCUUGUUACCGCAUCACUCGCGCCGCCAAGCUUGCCUCUCGGGUAGGGGCUUUUUUUCGGGUUGCUAAGCAUUACAUCCACGGGAAAACCUCCGAGAGAGUCCGUUUGGCAGCAAAACAUAGCGAGUGGAGUCAGUAGGAUGAGGCGGCCGGAAGAGACUGAGCCCGGACGAAGCCAAUCACAUUGAGUUGUAGAUUGACAUAGUUAACCUUCAGUGCACUUCAAAUAGAAAGUCAGAGUUGAAGCUGAGCGUUCACCUUAGCGGCACCUCUGACCUCAGAUGCAUGUGUUAAGCAUAUAACUAGCGAGCGAACCAUACUUCGGAUAUCGCUCGGAGCAAGGCCAGUCGCUGGAUUAAGACUAACAAACCGACCGACCAUUCCUUAUCAAAUCAAACCCAGCAAGAGACGUCACUACGUACCUCGGCCUCAGUGCGUCCUACUUGUCUCGUUCGUCUUUUAAGCCUGCUAUGCAUCCCUGCUCCUUCAACCGAUUGACCCAGUCGUCCGAGGUAAGGAGUUACCUCUGGGAUCGUUGGGAAUGACCUCCUUUUCAAAUGAGGCCAUAUCCAUUCGACUAAACAACUCGUUGUUUUCGUCGAAACAAUACCUAACUCUUGGGUACCACAGUACACCUAAGAAUGAGGGUCUUUUACUUCCUUCUGUUACCUUUCGGUACCAUGAAUUAAGUUCAAAAGGCAAGGAACGUAGUAACUCGACUGUAAGGAGAGGACCG